GAAUAAAUAAGUAAAAUAGGUGUCGGCUGUAAUCCAAGAAUUAUAAGCUGGUGAAAAGGAAAGUUGGGUGUGAAUCCCACGCGGUCCCGCCGCUGUAAGAGAAGAGUUCCUCUAAGAAUGCCACCAUUAAGUUGGGAAGGCAGGAGGUAAUGUUGAUGCUCGAGCCAGAAGACCUGCCUGUUUUAAUAACGUUUA
rnacentral:ncRNA from 1 species